rnacentral:rRNA from 1 species
UACGGGGGGAGCAAACGUUGUUCGGAAUCACUGGGCGUAAAGCGCGCGUAGGCGGGUCGUUAAGUCGGGGGUGAAAUCCCGAGGCUCAACCUCGGAACUGCCUUUGAUACUGGCGACCUGGAGUCCGGGAGAGGUGAGUGGAACUCCUAGUGUAGAGGUGAAAUUCGUAGAUAUUAGGAAGAACACCAGUGGCGAAGGCGGCUCACUGGCCCGGUACUGACGCUGAUGCGCGAAAGCGUGGGGAGCAAACAGG